GAUUUCUGGCUUAAGGAGUCCGCUCGUUCGGCGUAAGUCGUUCUGGGUGGUUCGCCUUGGCCAUCUUUUCAGCUAACUCGGGACCCUUAACUGGGCUCCGAGGGAUCUGAAUCUUUUACUUUGAAAAAAUUAGAGUGUUUAAAGCAGGCGUCUGCCAUGAAUACAUUAGCAUGGAAUAAUAAUUUAGGACUUUCCUCCUAUUUUAUUGGUUUCUAGGGGUAAAGUAAUGAUUGAUAGGGAUAGUUGGGGGUGCUAGUAUUCACCGGCCAGAGGUGAAAUUCUUGGAUUCGGUGAAGACUAACUUAUGCGAAAGCAUU
rnacentral:rRNA from 1 species